rnacentral:rRNA from 1 species
UCCUGGUUAUAAACAAAUAAAAUUUACCAGAGUACUAUGAAUAUUAUAAAAUUUAAAACUCAAAGGACUUGGCGGUGUUUUAGACCAUUUAGGGGAACCUGUCUUAUAAUCGAUAAUCCACGUUACACCUAACCUUUCUUUGCUUUCAGUUUGUAUAUCGUUGUCGUCAGGUAACUUUUUAGAAAUUAGAAGUUAGCUAAAAAUGCUAAAUUUAAACGUCAAAUCAAGGUGCAGCUAAUAGAAAGGUAAAGAUGGGUUACAAUUAUCUUAAUUAUAAUAACGGAAGAUCAUGUGAACUUAGUGAUAAAAAAGGAGGACUUAAAAGUAAAUUAGAUUAUAUAAAUAAUUUGAAUAAGGCUCUGAAAUGUGCACACAUCGCCCGUCGCUCUUGUUGGAAAAUAAGAUAAGUCGUAACAUAGUAGGGGUAAUGGAAAUUGUUCCUAAACU